rnacentral:rRNA from 1 species
ACCCAAAGAAAAACUUCGUAGUGAGUGUUAGAGCCGCCCGUACCCCAAACCGACACAGGUGAUCAGGUAGAGAAUACCAAGGCGAUCGAGUGAACCAUGGUUAAGGAACUCGGCAAAAUGCCCCCGUAACUUCGGGAGAAGGGGGGCCGGAUGCGUUACAUGGCUUGCCCAUGGAAGCGUUGAUGGCCGCAGAGACCAGGCCCAAGCGACUGUUUACUAAAAACACAGGUCCGUGCGAAUAAGUAAUUCGAUGUAUACGGACUGACGCCUGCCCGGUGCUGGAACGUUAAGGGGACAGGUUAGCUGGUUUAGGCCGGCGAAGCUUUGAACUUAAGCGCCAGUAAACGGCGGUGGUAACUAUAACCAUCCUAAGUUAGCGAAAUUCCUUGUCGGGUAAGUUCCGACCUGCACGAAUGGCGUAACGACUUGGGCGCUGUCUCAACCAUGGACUCGGCGAAAUUGCAUUACGAGUAAAGAUGCUCGUUACGCGCAGCAGGACGGAAAGACCCCGGGACCUUUACUACAACUUGGUAUUGGUGGUCGGUACAACUUGUGUAGGAUAGGUGGGAGACUGUGAAAUCCGGACGCCAGUUCGGGUGGAGUCAUCGUUGAAAUACCACUCUGGUUGUUCUGGCUGUCUAACUUCGGUCCAUUAUCUGGAUCAGGGACAGUGCCUGGUGGGUAGUUUGGCUGGCGGUCGCCUCCUAAAAGGUAACGGAGGCGCUCAAAGGUUCCCUCAGACUGGUUGGCAAUCAGGUGUCGAGUGUAAGUGCACAAGGGAGCUUGACUGUGAGACAGACAUGUCGAGCAGGGACGAAAGUCGGAACUAGUGAUCCGGCGGUGGCAUGUGGGAGCACCGUCGCUCAACGGAUAAAAGGUACCCCGGGGAUAACAGGCUGAUCUUCCCCAAGAGUCCAUAUCGACGGGAUGGUUUGGCACCUCGAUGUCGGCUCGUCGCAUCCUGGGGCUGGAGUAGGUCCCAAGGGUUGGGCUGUUCGCCCAUUGAAGCGGCACGCGAGCUGGGCUUAGAACGUCGUGAGACAGUUCGGUCCCUAUCCGCUGCGCGCGCAGGAGACUUGAGAAGGGCUGCCCCUAGUACGAGAGGACCGGGGUGGACGAACCUCUGGUGUGCCAGUUGUUCCGCCAGGAGCACGGCUGGUUGGCUACGUUCGGGAGUGAUAACCGCUGAAAGCAUCUAAGCGGGAAGCACGCUUCAAGAUGAGGUCUCCCACCGAGUUAAUCGGGUAAGGCCCCCAGUAGACCACUGGGUUGAUAGGCCAGAGGUGGAAGCGCCGUAAGGUGUGGAGCUGACUGGUACUAAUAGGCCGAGGGCUUGUCUCA